rnacentral:rRNA from 1 species
UACGAAGGGGGCUAGCGUUGCUCGGAAUUACUGGGCGUAAAGCGCACGUAGGCGGUCUUUUAAGUCGGGGGUGAAAUCCUGGAGCUCAACUCCAGAACUGCCUUCGAUACUGGAAGACUUGAGUCCGGGAGAGGUGAGUGGAACUGCGAGUGUAGAGGUGAAAUUCGUAGAUAUUCGCAAGGACACCAGUGGCGAAGGCGGCUCACUGGCCCGGUACUGACGCUGAGGUGCGAAAGCGUGGGGAGCAAACAGG